rnacentral:misc_RNA from 1 species
AAGUCGUAACAAGGUUUCCGUAGGUGAACCUGCGGAAGGAUCAUUAUCACGUAUCCACGUAUAAACCAUUGUGAACCGUUCUUUAACCUCCACGAAAUUUGAUUGCACGCACUUUACUGUGUGAACUUUCAAACGUAAAUGGAGCGUAUUCAACCUAUUAACCAUUUUAACCAAUCUUUAUAACUUUAUGAACUAACUUUAUUUUAUACUCUUCGGAGAUAAAAUUCAUUACGAAACAAAGAACAACUCUUAGCAACGGAUAUCUUGGUUCUC